CGAUCGUAUAGUGAAUCAUCGAAUCUUUGAACGCACCUUGCACUUUGGGAGUCAAUCUCAAAGUAUACCUGUUUGAGUAUCAUAAACAUUUAUCCAAGUAAUUGGGAUUUGAGGAUUACUUUUACUUUUACUUUUACUUUCAUUUUCUAAGAGAAGGUAAGGUAAGGUAUAAAAGGUAUUCCUUUAAAUAUAGAACGGAGUUAGCUGAUGAACUUGCACGCUUACUCGAGUGAGGAUAUUUGCAUUAGUGCAAAGGAUUCAUAAGAGAUUGUGUUAGGGGAUAUUAGUAAUUUAUAAUUCCGAUGAUUUGUUUUGUUUUAUUGUGUUGUGAAAACAAUAUUUAAUUUAAUUCAAUUCAAUUUCUUCUGUACAAAUGUGAUCUCAAAUCAGGCAAGAUUACCCGCUGAACUUAAGCAUAUCAAUAAGCGGAGG
rnacentral:rRNA from 1 species